rnacentral:misc_RNA from 1 species
GAUGAAGAACGCAGCGAAAUGCGAUACGUAAUGUGAAUUGCAAAUUCAGUGAAUCAUCGAGUCUUUGAACGCACAUUGCGCCCCCUGGUAUUCCGGGGGGCAUGCCUGUCCGAGCGUCAUUGCUGCCCUCAAGCACGGCUUGUGUGUUGGGCCCCGUCCUCCGAUCCCGGGGGACGGGCCCGAAAGGCGGCGGCGGCACCGCGUCCGGUCCUCGAGCGUAUGGGGCUUUGUCACCCGCUCUGUAGGCCCGGCCGGCGCUUGCCGAUCAACCCAAAUUUUUAUCCAGGUUGACCUCGGAUCAGGUAGGGAUACCCGCUGAACUUAAGCAUAUCAAUAAGCGGAGGA